CUGGGAUGCAACUUGGUUAACAGAGACUCAGUCUGGCACACAGUAGGUCCUGGGAUUAAUCUCCAGCACUCCAUAUGUAGUGGGACAUGCCUGUUAUCUGAUUGGGAGGAGGGGAUCAGGAAUUGUAGGCCAUUCUUGGCAAACAAAUGCUGGGCAGUGGUGGCACAUGCCUUUAAUCCUUCACUUGGGAGGCAGAGGUCUCGGAGUCUGGGGCCAGCCUGGUUUACAAAGUGAGACCCUAGAAACCCUAGAAAGCCAGGGCUGUUACACAGACGAACCCUGUUUCAAAAAACCAAAACCAGCUGGGCUUUGGUGACUACCAUCUUGAAUCUCAGCACUCGGGAGGCAGAGGUAGGCGGAUCUCUGCAAGUUCAAGACUGACCUGGUCUACAAGAGCUAGUUCCAGGACAGGCUCCAAAGCCACAGAGAAACCCUGUCUCCACCCCCUUCUUCUCCCCCCCCCCCCAAAACAAAAACAAAGCCAACAAGUAACCAAAUAAGUAAAAAGACAUAUAUUUAUAAAACAAAAAUUAGUAGAAAUGGGGAAUAAAAAACAUACAAUAGGCAGGCAUGGUUGUACACACCUUUAAUCCCAGCACUCGGGAGGCAAAGGAUUAUCCAACUGAAAUCUGCUUCAUCUAGCAAUUUAUUUUUAAAACUUUAACUUUGGUUAAAAUAAUGAUGGCUUAAUGUCUGGAACCUGAGUGGAUAGGUACAUCAACCUUUCAAUAGCACAUUUUAUGAAAUCAGGUACUGAGAUAUGCUUUAAAUAUAAUUUAUACACUAGAUUUUAAAUAAUAGUGAGAAAAAGAAUGUGAAACAUUAAACUAUUUUUAAAUCACAUAUAACAUUGGCAUAUAUUUGAUAAGACAUUAAUUUCACAUUUUAAUGUAACUACAACAAAAUUAUAUUUAACAUAUUUCUGCCUGAUGGUGGUAGUUUAGGCAAUCAUACUCAAAGCUUAGACACCACUAUUGAUUCUUCUCUCCGUCACUCCACACUUAGUGAACAAUAUCGAUUACGUCUAAUAACAAGUGUUUUGGGGAUCCAUCUGCUUUCUCCAUCUCUAUGGCUACGCCAAUGCUCCUCCAUUCCUUAAGGCUUUCAACGUCUUCAUCUUACCAUAGACUUUUCUUUCUUACCCUUCCUUCUCUGCUCUCCUCAAAGUCAGCCACACUGACCUCUUUGUGGCUCUGAUUUCACAAACUGCACUGUCUUCUUCCCAGUCAGGGCCCAGUGCAGACACAACCUCAGGUGAGACCACCUCUGGCCAAGAGCCAGCACCUUGUCUGCUUCCUCACAGUUUGGAGAACUACUUUAUCUAGUUAUGCUGCUUUCGUUUUCCUUGUGAAACUAUUUCGGGACAUUAUCUCUCUUCUUUGUUUUAAUUUCUUCCCUUUACCAGAAAUGGGAGCAGAAGCCAAGUUCAUUGUUGCUAGUUUUAUCUUUUCUAGCACACAACAGUAUCUGGCAGAAUGGGUGGGUGUUUCAACAACAGUGGAAUACAACGUAAUUGCUGGUUAGACAGGCUCAGAGGUUUUACAUAGUCUACAGAAGCUUCACCCUUUCCCAGCACAUAUCCCUCUCCUUGGUUUGACUUUCAGUGAGCACAUUACCAUCCUGCAGGUACUCCCCUGACACAUUUGACAGUCACCUUUGCCAUCUCUUUCCGACCUUCUCAUCCAGUCAAGCCAAUUCUCCAAAUUCUCAAUUAGCAGUUGUGAUAUUCUUCAUUUCUACUUGUGACUACCUCAACCCAAGCCAUUAUUGCCUUCCACAUUUCAAUAUCUCAUACCUUGGACCUUUUUUUUUUCUUUUGCUGAAUAGUUACGUUACCAGUCAAAAACAUCAACUCAUUCACGUGAGUUUGAGGCUGUCACUAAACCUCUAUAGGCACAUCUCUGGGAAUGUUUAAAAUGUCUUUUUUAAUUCAGUCUCCCCACUGCUUGCCUCUUAAACCUUUGCAUUACUGUUCCUUUGGCUGGAGGGCCUUCACCAAUUCCCUUACUAAAGGCAAUUGCUUCUGUGGAGCCAUGAUUCCUCCUU
ensembl:lncRNA